GUGCUCGCUUCGGCAGCACUUAUACUAAAAUUGAAAUGAUACAGAGAAGAUUAGCACGGCCCCUGCACAAGGAUGACAUGCAAAUUCAUGAAGUGUUCUAUAUUAAA